rnacentral:tRNA from 1 species
GGGAUUAUAGUUAUUAUAACGUAUAGUUUGCAUCUAUAAAAAAUUGAUUAAAUCAAUUCUUCUC